GUCUGCAUCUCUCUCUCUCCCGCUGCCGCGGUCGCGGAGGGGCACGUGUUCCAGAUAAUGAGGCUCUAAGGUGGGGCGAAGCACUUCCAGAAUGACAGAGUAAGGACUUCCAAAAAUAUUCUCCUUUGUAAAAGCAAUGAGCAUGCUGGCAAAAAUUGUCGGAAUCAACUUUUUCAUGACUUUGGAAAUUAACCAAAGGUUUGCAAAAAUAUGAUUUGCAAUGCCACCUCAGUAAGCUGAGAUGCGGGGAUCACCAUGGCAACGGGGCUGCGUUCAAAGCAUUUGUUCUCACAAAGUGGAGGGCUGGUGCCCAGCAGGGCUCAGCCUGGCCUCCCUGCACGUCUUCCCUAAUUAAGAUGCACCUUUUGGUUUUGAGUCUUCAAAAAACUCUCCCUUUGUAAACCACCGUACAGAAGGAAAAUUAAGGCCAAGGCCCUCGGCGCCCCAUCUGUGAAGAGCCGGGCCUGCCAGAAUGGUUGGAGCAGAGGAGCAGGUAGGCAGCAGGGUGAGAAAGCGGACAAUGACUUGGUCCUGAGAACCUGGAGGAACAUACAUCAUCAAGUCCCCAAAGAGGCUGGGGACAGGAUGGUCACAUUCAAGAACGCACCGCUCACUUGACAAAGCAGAGACCGAGCUUUUGGCCCA